rnacentral:rRNA from 1 species
UACGGAGGGGCUAGCGUUGUUCGGAAUUACUGGGCGUAAAGCGCACGUAGGCGGCUUGUAAGUUAGAGGUGAAAGCCCAGGGCUUAACCCUGGAAUUGCCUUUAAGACUGCAUCGCUAGAAUUGUGGAGAGGUAAGUGGAAUUCCGAGUGUAGAGGUGAAAUUCGUAGAUAUUCGGAAGAACACCAGUGGCGAAGGCGACUUACUGGACACAUAUU